UACGGGGGGAGCAAGCGUUGUUCGGAUUUACUGGGCGUAAAGGGCGCGUAGGCGGCCACCGCAAGUCGACUGUGAAAUCUCCGGGCUUAACUCGGAAACUGCCGUUGAUACUAUCUGUCUUGAAUAUCGUGGAGGUUAGCGGAAUAUGUCAUGUAGCGGUGAAAUGCUUAGAUAUGACAUAGAACACCCAUGCGAAGGCAGCUAACUACACGAUCAUUGACACUGAGGCACGAAAGCGUGGGGAGCAAACAGG
rnacentral:rRNA from 1 species